rnacentral:rRNA from 1 species
AACGAACGCUGGCGGCAGGCUUAACACAUGCAAGUCGAGCGCCCCGCAAGGGGAGCGGCAGACGGGUGAGUAACGCGUGGGAACGUACCCUUUGCUACGGAAUAGCUCCGGGAAACUGGAAUUAAUACCGUAUGUGCCCUACGGGGGAAAGAUUUAUCGGGGAAGGAUUGGCCCGCGUUGGAUUAGCUAGUUGGUGGGGUAAUGGCCUACCAAGGCGACGAUCCAUAGCUGGUCUGAGAGGAUGAUCAGCCACACUGGGACUGAGACACGGCCCAGACUCCUACGGGAGGCAGCAGUGGGGAAUAUUGGACAAUGGGCGCAAGCCUGAUCCAGCCAUGCCGCGUGAGUGAUGAAGGCCUUAGGGUUGUAAAGCUCUUUCAGUGGGGACGAUAAUGACGGUACCCACAGAAGAAGCCCCGGCUAACUUCGUGCCAGCAGCCGCCGUAAUAC